AUUGAACGCUGGCGGAAUGCUUUACUCAUGCAAGUCGAGCGGCAGCACGGGGGCAACCCUGGUGGCGAGCGGCGAACGGGUGAGUAAUACAUCGGAACAUGCCCAGUCGUGGGGGAUAACACUUCGAAAGAAGUGCUAAUACCGCAUACGUCCUGAGGGAGAAAGCGGGGGAUCUUCGGACCUCGCGCGAUUGGAGUGGCCGAUGUCAGAUUAGCUAGUUGGUGGGGUAAAGGCCUACCAAGGCAUCGAUCUGUAGCUGGUCUGAGAGGAUGAGCAGCCACACUGGGACUGAGACACGGCCCAGACUCCUACGGGAGGCAGAAGUGGGGAAUUUUGGACAAUGGGGGCAACCCUGAUCCAGCCAUUCCGCGUGAGUGAAGAAGGCCUUCGGGUUGUAAAGCUCUUUCGGCAGGAACGAAACGGCGAGCUCUAACAUAGCUUGCUAAUGACGGUACCUGAAGAAGAAGCACCGGCUAACUACGUGCCAGCCGCCGCGGUAACAC
rnacentral:rRNA from 1 species